UGAAGGCUAUAUAAGUUGAGGAUCUUCGUCAAGAGAAUCAUUUUGAAUGUGGAUAUUGACAGCGUCACGUCGCUCUCGAAUUCCUUACAAGUUGCAAGAUGAGCCAUCAGAGAACCCUGAACCCCUUUCCGACAAGCACUCCGCCCAGUGUACAGUUCCUUCGAUGCUUGCAAGAGGAGCUGGAUACCGACCCAGAUGAAGACCAGCUUAUGAUUGUUGACGUUCCUCCUGACCAUGCCACCACGAGGGAACUCCAAGACUUGCGGUAAGGACAAGCGGGUCAAAAGCAAGACGAAAAUGCAGCCAAACGGAAACGGUUUCCGUGCUCGGUGUGCGGCAACGUCUUCCAUCACUUGACCAACCUGAUUCGACACCGGAAGCUACAUAAGAUCGGACCGAGUGUCAACAAGAAGGCCAUGACAUGUCCGGUGUGCGGCAAAGCGUUCUCUCGUCCUGACAACAUGAAACGCCAUCGUAAGAGCCACACUGCAGAUCAGCCGUCGUCUCCUAUCUGUCCAAUUUCGGAUCAAGACAAUGUAGAGUCGACACGUGCCGAGGCCGGAACAAACAACCCUUCCCCAAAUUUGGAUGCUUCAACUGCAAUAUGUCCUGCCUGCAGAGAUGUUUUCCCGAGGGUGAGUCAUACAUGUAUGUUACGGCAUCUGCAAAACAACCAUGGCGGAAUGUCGGCAACUUAUCCAAAUCCAAACGAGCCAAACCCCGAACCCUAUCAGUCCGUCCAUAAGGAUGUAGGGAAUUCCCAUAUGGAGGUCGUUUCCGAUGUCCUUACCUCCUCAUCGCCGACCCUUGAGCCACCACUGUCCCCACCACAUUCACCAGAGGUGCACAACUGCCCGCUGUGUGACAAGUCUCUUAGUCGAUAUGACAGCGUGAAAAGACACAUCAAAACGUAUCAUGAGGGCGGUCCAACUCAACAGUCAUUGCCCGAAGAAACCCUAACAGACGGGGAAAUGCUCCACGCACAGUCGAUGGAAACUGUCCUGGAAGAUCCCCAAGAGUUUCCCGCUGAUGCACAGCAAGUGGCUGAUGAUAUUCUCAGUAAGCUCCGUCAACACUGGUUGCCCAUUCGCAUGCAUUACA